GGUAGUAUGGCUGAGAUAGCGGUAGGCUGUAAACCUACAAACAGGGUAAAAUCCUUGCUGCCA
rnacentral:tRNA from 1 species